rnacentral:rRNA from 1 species
AUUGAACGCUGGCGGCAGGCUUAACACAUGCAAGUCGAGCGGAGUGAUGGUGCUUGCACUAUCACUUAGCGGCGGACGGGUGAGUAAUGCUUAGGAAUCUGCCUAUUAGUGGGGGACAACAUCUCGAAAGGGAUGCUAAUACCGCAUACGUCCUACGGGAGAAAGCAGGGGAUCACUUGUGACCUUGCGCUAAUAGAUGAGCCUAAGUCGGAUUAGCUAGUUGGUGGGGUAAAGGCCUACCAAGGCGACGAUCUGUAGCGGGUCUGAGAGGAUGAGCCGCCACACGGGGACUGAGACACGGCCCAGACUCCUACGGGAGGCAGCAGUGGGGAAUAUUGGACAAUGGGGGGAACCCUGAUCCAGCCAUGCCGCGUGUGUGAAGAAGGCCUUAUGGUUGUAAAGCACUUUAAGCGAGGAGGAGGCUCUUUUGGUUAAUACCCAAGAUGAGUGGACGUUACUCGCAGAAUAAGCACCGGCUAACUCUGUGCCAGCAGCCGCCGUGA